rnacentral:rRNA from 1 species
GUCCACGCCGUAAACGAUGAGUGCUAGGUGCUGCGGGUAUUGACCCCUGCGGUGCCGUAGCUAACGCGUUAAGCACUCCGCCUGUGGAGUACGGCCGCAAGGCUAAAACUCAAAGGAAUUGACGGGGGCCCGCACAAGCGGUGGAGCAUGUGGUUCAAUUCGACGCAACGCGCAGAACCUUACCUGGGUUAAAUCCACUCGAACCUAGCAGAGAUGUUGGGGUGCCCUUCGGGGAACGAGUGAGAAGGUGCUGCAUGGCUGUCGU